rnacentral:rRNA from 1 species
UGGGGAAUAUUGCACAAUGGGCGAAAGCCUGAUGCAGCGACGCCGCGUGAGGGAUGACGGCCUUCGGGUUGUAAACCUCUUUCAGUAGGGACGAAGCGCAAGUGACGGUACCUGCAGAAGAAGCACCGGCUAACUACGUGCCAGCAGCCGCGGUAAUACGUAGGGUGCGAGCGUUGUCCGGAAUUACUGGGCGUAAAGAGCUCGUAGGCGGUUUGUCACGUCGUCUGUGAAAUCCUAGGGCUUAACCCUGGACGUGCAGGCGAUUCGGGCUGACUUGAGUACUACAGGGGAGACUGGAAUUUCUGGUGUAGCGGUGGAAUGCACAGAUAUCAGGAAGAACACCGAUGGCGAAGGCAGGUCUCUGGGUAGUAACUGACGCUGAGGAGCGAAAGCAUGGGUAGCGAACAGG